GAUGAACGCUAGCGGCAGGCUUAAUACAUGCGAGUCAAACGGGCGUAGCAAUACGUCAGUGGCGCACGGGUGAGUAACGCGUACACAACUUGCCCUUCAGAGAGGAAUAGCCCUAGGAAACUGGGAGUAAUACCUCAUGGUAUCGGUUACAGGCAUCUGUUUCUGAUUAAAGCUCCGGCGCUGAAGGAUAGGUGUGCGUCUGAUUAGCUAGUUGGUAGGGUAACGGCCUACCAAGGCUACGAUCAGUAGGGGGCGUGAGAGCGUGAUCCCCCACACAGGUACUGAGACACGGACCCGACUCCUACGGGAGGCAGCAGUAAGGAAUAUUGGUCAAUGGGCGCAAGCCUGAACCAGCCAUGCCGCGUGUAGUAUGACGGCCCUUCGGGUUGUAACCUACUUUUGAAUGGGAAGAAACCCCUAGAUUUAUCUGGGGCUGACGGUACCAUUAGAAUAAGCAUCGGCUAACUCCGUGCCAGCCGCCGCCGUAACAC
rnacentral:rRNA from 1 species